UAGGGAAUAUUGGACAAUGGGUGAGAGCCUGAUUCAGCCAUGCCGCGUGCAGGAAGAAGGCGUUAUGCGUUGUAAACUGCUUUUUGCCAGGGGAUAAAAAGACCGUGCGCGGUUAAUUGAAGGUACCUGGUGAAUAAGCCACGGCUAACUACGUGCCAGCAGCCGCGGUAAUACGUAGGUGGCAAGCGUUGUCCGGAUUUAUUGGGUUUAAAGGGUGCGUAGGUGGCCCUGUAAGUCAGUGGUGAAAUAUCUCAGCUUAACUGAGAGGGUGCCAUUGAUACUGCAGGGCUUGAGUACAGAUGAGGUAGGCGGAAUUGACGGUGUAGCGGUGAAAUGCAUAGAUAUCGUCAAGAACACCGAUAGCGAAGGCAGCUUACCAAGCUGUAACUGACACUGAGGCACGAAAGUGUGGGGAUCAAACAGGAUUAGAUACCCAAGUAGUCCCUGAGCGGGCUGGCAAGGCGC
rnacentral:rRNA from 1 species